UCUGAUGGCCAAAUCGAUAAAAUAGCACUGAAUGUGCCAAAUCUCGUCAAUGAUCUUGAAAGCUAAGCAUGCUUUGAACCUGGUUAGUACUUCCACGGGAGGCAGUCUGGGAAUAACAGCUGUUGUAGGGU
rnacentral:rRNA from 1 species